rnacentral:rRNA from 1 species
AUGGCAAUAAAGUCAGCCAGCAUCUCGUGUUUUCUCCGGUGCGGCUCCGCCGCCGGCGCCGUUAGGCCAUCCGUAUGGGCGCGCAGCGCCCGUUUCCUCGGCCGCGACAGCCGUACCGAUGGAACCGGCUCGAAGCUGUACUGCAGCGCCCCUACUCCCUGGAGCUACGCUCACAACUUCGACUCAGACUCGGAAUCCAUGCCGCCUGGCCCUUGGUGGGGCGAGGCGCUGCUCGAAGAAGACGCCGAGUUUUUUCCUCUUGCCGAUUUUAUUCCAGUUGGACAGGGCAGGAAAGAACUAGAUGCUAUAUGGCAUGCCCUCGUCGCUGGCCCGCUCGAAUCCAUCAUCCUCACGCUGCGCGAGAUCAUGGCCGCCGGCAACUUGUUCCGCUGCCGCAGCUUCCAUGUCGGCACUCUCUCAGGUGCUUUGCUAGUUCUUGCUGCGUUUUGCCAACUCUGCAAAACGACACCUACCCUUUUCAUGGACAUUGUUCUUGGGUAUGUGUUCUACAAGCUAAGUGUUUUAUCUGCUCAGUUGCAAAAAGAUGGCAGGUCAUUUAGCAUAUGUGCACGGAUACAGCUAGUUCUUCUACUUAUUUUGUCUUUCAAGGAUAACAGUGCAUUUCAGGGUUUCUACCGCUUUCUUGUGGAAUUGAUCUGGGCGCUCAAUAUUUACAUGUAUUUCAUUAUGGCCUAUGAGGCGACCGUCGGUGUGAAGCAUGGAAGACUCUAUUGGCUUGCAAUCUAUAGAUGGAUGCAGACGAAAGGAGGCCUGACGAAGGUGCUGAAGCAUACAUUUCUUGAUAUCUUUGGAGGAAAUAAGAAGCCAGUCUCGAUAAAAAGAAGGAAUAGAAAUCGGCAGUAG